AGACAACAAAAUGUUUAAUAUUAUUAUUUUGUCACCUUAGGUCGAUCGGCAUCUCACGUUUUUAAUUUAUUAAGAAUUUCAUUUCCUAAGUUUUUCUAGGUCACACCCAUUAUUUUUCCUGGGCCAUAGCUCAGGUGGUUAGAGCGCACCCCUGAUAAGGGCGAGGUCCCUGGUUCAAGUCCAGGAUGGCCCAUAUCUCUAUGUUGGGGGUAUAGCUCAGUUGGUAGAGCGCCUGCUUUGCAAGCAGGAUGUCAGCGGUUCGAGUCCGCUUACCUCCACUGAUUACCACCUCUUCCAUAAUCGGUAGGAAGGAAAUGUUUUGAGUUGUGAUCAAAUUCUGGAAGAAUCUAGCUUCCUAAUGAAAUCAUUAAGAUGCUGGACUCAUUGAAUUAAUUUCAUUGUUUUCAGAGAACCUUGACAACUGCAUAGAUUAUUUUUAAGGACAAUAAGCAUCUUUAGUGAUGCAGAUUUUUUAUUUGUGCGAAUGCAUUAAUAACAAUUCUAUUAAGCUGAUGCUUCAAUUUUUGAAGUUAUU
rnacentral:tRNA from 1 species